CCUACGGGUUGCAGCAGUGAGGAAUAUUGGUCAAUGGGCGGGAGCCUGAACCAACCAAGUCGCGUGAGGGAAGACGGUCCUAUGGAUUGUAAACCUCUUUAGGCGGGGAGCAAAAAGGCCUCGUGAGGCCACAAGUGAGAGUACCCGAAGAAAAAGCAUCGGCUAACUACGUGCCAGCAGCCGCGGUAAUACGGAGGAUGCGAGCGUUAUCCGGAUUUAUUGGGUUGAAGGGGUGCGUAGGCGGACUGGAAGGUCAGCGGUAAAAUCGAGGGGCUGAACCGCUUUCCGCCGUUGAAACUGUCGGUCGUGAGUGGGCGAGAAGUAUGUGGAAUGCGUGGUGUAGCGGUGAAAUGCAUAGAUAUCACGCAGAACUCCGAUUGCGAAGGCAGCAUACCGGAGACCGACUGACGCUGAGGCACGAAAGCGUGGGUAUCGAACAGGAUUAGAUACCCGGGUAGUC
rnacentral:rRNA from 1 species